rnacentral:rRNA from 1 species
UACGUAGGGUGCAAGCGUUAAUCGGAAUUACUGGGCGUAAAGCGUGCGCAGGCGGUCUUGUAAGACAGGUGUGAAAUCCCCGGGCUUAACCUGGGAACUGCAUUUGUGACUGCAAGGCUAGAGUACGGCAGAGGGGGAUGGAAUUCCGCGUGUAGCAGUGAAAUGCGUAGAUAUGCGGAGGAACACCGAUGGCGAAGGCAAUCCCCUGGGCCUGUACUGACGCUCAUGCACGAAAGCGUGGGGAGCAAACAGG